rfam:Myotis davidii contig72041, whole genome shotgun sequence.
GGUGGUUCUCAGGUGACACACCCUGGAAUCAGGCUCCAUCCUCUCUGGUCCCGGGGGCAUCACCCGAGAACCGCA